UACUUUUCCUCAUUUUUUAAACUUCCUAACAGGCCAUAAGUCUAAAGUGGAAAUUCAAUGCAGGCAAAGAUAUAUCUGCAACACAAGCAAUUUUCAAUGGUACCCUUUAUUUUCCAAGCUGGAAUGGCUAUAUCUAUGCAAUCAAAGAGUCUGAUGGGUCUCUUGUUUGGGAGAAGAACUUGCAAGAGUUAACUGGCCUUAAUGCAACUGGGUUUGUACCUAAGGUCAAUUGGACAGUAUCAAGAUCAACACCAACUAUAGCUGAUGACCUCCUGAUCAUUGGAAUCUAUGGACCAGCUGUGGUUAUUGCUGUUGAAAGAUCAACUGGGAAGCUUGUUUAGUCAACCCAGCUUGACAGCCAUGCCGCUGGACUUAUCACCAUGUCAGGAACUUAUUACAAAGGUAAUAGGCCGGUCUCCUUCAAACUCAAGAUGGGUGUGAGACCAACUUGAGGUUGUCAACCAAAGCACGAAGGCGGACCAUUAGGAUGUGAUUUGGUGAAGAUAUUUGCAAGUUGAUCUUUAGAGGAGGGACCGAGAACAGCUUGAGAGCACCAUGACCAAGAUGAUAACGGAUAAAAUGACAAUUGAUCUCGAUGUAUUUAAUUAGUCCGUUCAUAAAAGAUAUCAUUGUGAGCAAUAUGAAUGAUACUCUGAUUUUCACAAUAAAGAAGAGUAGCAGAGGAUGUGGACUCACCUAAGUCCUUAAGAAGCCAUCAUAACCAAAGGAAUUCAGAUAUGGUAUUAGCAAGAGCACAAUAUUCUGUUUCAGUAGAUAUUUUAUUUUAGUUAAUAGAAGAUAAAUAAAGCUGGUAUGAUAUAUAUAUAUAUA